rnacentral:lncRNA from 1 species
UGUAUUAUGGAUUUCAUCUCUUGUUAACAUUAAUCAUCAAAAAAAUCCAAAAAAAAAAAAAGAAUAACAAAGGGUUAUUGUUGAUUUUGUGAAAUCGUUUGAAAAUGGCGACAAUUAACCCUUUUGAUUUGUUGGGUGAUGAUGCUGAAGACCCUUCACAGUUGAUUGCUGCUGAGCAACAGAAAGCGGCGGCUGCAGCGGCGGCGGCGCCCAAGAAGGGGCUGGACCAAGGCAAACAAACUGGUGCUGCCAAGAAGCCCGCUCAGUUACCUUCCAAACCACUUCCCCCUUCUCAGGCUGGUCAGUUUUCAAUUUCAUUUCCAUAAAGUUUUAAUCUUUAUUAGUUUCACGUUUUUGUGUAAUGUAAAAAUUGAUGCUUUUUUCAUUUAAUUUAUUGGGUUUUAUUUGAUUUUUUUAUUAUUUGCUUUUACAUAAUGUGGGUUUUGAUUAUUUGUUGAUUUAUUCUAUUUGUUGAUUGUGUUUGAUGUUUUGACUUUUGACCAAUUUGGGUUUUAGGGUUUUGUGUUUAAUGAUUGAUGCUUUUUUCAUUCAGUUUUGAUUAUUUGUUGUUAAUUCUGUUUGAUGUUUGGAAUUUUUUUAUCAAUUUGUAUGUUUAGGUCAUGAAGAUUGAUGUUGUUUUAAUGAGUUUGAUGUGAUUUAUUAUAUACUUCCAGAAAAUGCGGGGUUUGGAUGAUUUAUUUAUGAUUUAUUCUUUUUGUUGAUAGUGUUUGAUGUAUGGACUUUUGACCAAUUUGUGUUUUAGGGCUUAAUGUAUUGGUUGAUUUAUUAGUGUCAAUGAUUGGUUUAGGUAAUGUGUGAGAGAGAUUGUUAUUGAAUCUGAUGACAUAAGUGUUGUUUGUGUUCACGUGUUUGUGUGUUGUUGAACAUACUUUUUUAUCUGAUGUGUAAUUGAAACCUAGGUUGUUGUUGUUUUACUACUUUAGUCCAUGGCUAUUUGAAAAGUAAGGUUUCUUUGUUGAGAGGCAAUAAAUGCAAAAGAAAAUUGGUUUAAUUUUGUGAUAACCAGAAUUGGAAGAUGAAAUUGUUCUGUAUUGCUUUGUUGAUGUAUUUAUUCAUUCCUUUUGUGUUAGUUAACUUUUUGUUGGAAUUUGAUGAGAUGUUACAUUGAUUGUUAAAUUGUGAUUAUGUAGAUGAUGUUUCUUGUGUUGUUUCCCUUCUAUGCUGAUAUUUUUCUUUCCUGUGCUAUUGAUAGUGAGGGAGUCCAGAAAUGAGCCAUCUCGUGGGGGCCGUGGAGGUGGACGUGGAUUUGGACGUGGUCGCGGUGAUGGUGGCUUUCGUCGUGAUUUCUCCAAUGAUGACAACUCAUUGCCUGCUCCUCCUGCCAAUCAAGGUUCUUUUGAAGGAGAUUCUGCAAAUCCCACUGAGAGACGUGGGUAUGGUGCACCCCGUACUCCUUAUCGUGUUGGCGGUGGC